rnacentral:rRNA from 1 species
CAUGUGCACGCUCUGUUUACACAUCCACCCACACCUGUGCACCCUCUGUAGUUCUGUGGCUUGGGGGCUCUGUCCUCUUGCUGUGGCUCUACGUCUUUACACACACACUGUGACAAAGUCUCAUGGAAUGUAUGUCUGCGUUUAACGCAAUGAAAUACAACUUUCANCAACGGAUCUCUUGGCUCUCGCAUCGAUGAAAAACGCANCGAAAUGCGAUAAGUAAUGUGAAUUGCANAAUUCANUGAAUCAUCNAAUCUUUGAACGCACCUUGCGCCCUUUGNCUAUUCCGAAAGGCAUGCCUGUUUGAGUAUCAUGAACACCUCAACUCUCAUGGCUUGCCAUGAUGAGCUUGUGACCUUGGGGGUCUUGCUGGCACGUGCGGGUCACCUCCUCUCAAAUGAAUCACCUUGCCGGUGUUUGGUGGCGUCACAGGUGUGAUAAAUAUCUAUGCUUGUGGCUUUCCACC